UAGUCCACGCCGUAAACGAUGUGUGCUAGAUGUCGGGUCCAUAGGAUUCGGUGUCGCAGCUAACGCACUAAGCACACCGCCUGGGGAGUACGGUCGCAAGAUUAAAACUCAAAGGAAUUGACGGGGACCCGCACAAGCAGUGGAGCAUGUUCUUUAAUUCGACGCAACGCGAAGAACCUUACCUACACUUGACAUACUCGUCGGGGAUUUCAGAGAUGAUUUCCUUCGGUUCGGCCGGACGAUGUACAGGUGCUGCACGGCUGUCGUCAGCUCGUGUCGUGAGAUGUUGGGUUAAGUCCCGCAACGAGCGCAACCCUCGCCUUUAGUUGCCAUCAUUUAGUUGGGCACUCUAGAGGAACCGCCGGUGAUAAGCCGGAGGAAGGUGGGGAUGACGUCAAGUCCUCAUGGCCCUUACGGGUAGGGCUACACACGUGCUACAAUGGCAGUGACAAUGGGUUAAUCCCCAAAAACUGUCUCAGUUCGGAUUGUUCUCUGCAACU
rnacentral:rRNA from 1 species